CAAAUGUUCCUGUCAGGACACUGCAAUCUGAUUGGUUACCAUAUUAUUGUUAAUAAAACAAUUAAUAGUCCUCUCCCAACACCGAAACCUUAAGCCUAAGGCACUGCUACAAUGGCUGUACCUCUUGGUCAUUCAGGUGACCCGGGUUCUGCUCGGCAUUUUCCGCCAUGUCUGCUUGCUACAACUACCUCGCGGCUUACGUCUCCGUGUCUUUCAACAGAGCGUCCUGGUCGCCAAGGUGACACAGCUGAGAAUUAUUCCUAUCCUGGUGUCGUCAGAGUUCCAGUUUCGGUUGUAUUUUCAUCAGCACUUUUUUUUUUUAACCAUUGUUACAUCUGAAUUAAGUUUUUCGCCGUGUGCUUGGCGAAUAUGGAGGAUAAUUCGUGCCAAAAUGUAAUAAAUAAAUAAAAACGAAAUAAAUAAAUAAACAAAUAAAAUACGAAAUAAAUAAAAUAUGAAAUAAAUAUACAUGUUUCUAUGUUAUGUAUGUAUGUAUUUAUUUAUUUCCUUUCGUUAUUUAUUUAUUUAUUUAUUUAUUUAUUGGCACGAUUGAGCGUCAAUCACAGUGGAAGGGCGGGACAAUACAGUAUGUGAAUCGAUGAUCUAACUUUGCCAGUUGGGGUUGUGUAGGGGUGUUGACUGUGUUGUGCGCUGCAAGUUGCAACCCUGGGCUGUGUACAUUCAAUCCAAUCGUUUUUCCUUUUAUAAAAGGAAAUUGGAAACUGAAAAACAACUCGUUUUUUUUGUUUUAGCUUUGUGAGCAGAGAAAUAAUAAUAACAAAAGUAUUAAGAUUUUAUAGAAUUACAUACAAACGCGAUUUCUGGUUUGUUUCACAAUCAGAUUAAGAAUGUUACAUGUCAUUCUUUAUGUAUUUAUUUUAUGUUGCCAAACCAUAUGCCGUGCAUCCCAAGUGACCCACUAAAACAUAAAGUGAUUUGUUUUUUUUAUAUACAGUAGUUGUAAUUUGGUCACUUGAAGACCUGGUGCUCGUCAUACAAUGUCGUACUAUAAUAGCGUUUCUACGUUGCUCACACAGAUGUCAGGUGAUAACUGAUCGAAAGACCUAUCAUAUUUGAAUUUACGAUCUCGCAAUACAGAAACGAGCCCCUAGAUUUGGUCGGAGCAAAACAAUUCUCAUUGAGCUCAAAUGAGUGACGGACUAGUAGUACUGCUGGAAACAAGGGCGAAUCAAACUUGGUUCCCGUUCCAGGAAGUCCAUUGCUUCGCUAUGCAGUUGUGGAAUACAACCUCCGUUAUUUGAACUCUUGCAUAGCCCUGAAUCAAUACAAGUACAACACUACAUUAACAUCAAUCAGAAUAUUGCCAAUAUAUGUCGCAAAGAAUCCCACAGCAUGAAGCGCAUUUAACAUAACCGUAUUCACAGGGUGAUGGUUUUUAUUAUUUUGAUGUUUCCAGUACUGAGAAAAGGUUACACAAGUCUACAGAUCUGAAGGGACUACAUGUAUGUGUACUAUAUAGUACUUAAAUAUGUAUCAUGCACUUAAUGGGAGGUUUUCUUCACAACUACUAAGAGUAGACUGAAAGUAAAUAAAUAAAUA